AUUGAACGCUGGCGGCAGGCUUAACACAUGCAAGUCGAGCGGAGAUGAGGUGCUUGCACCUUAUCUUAGCGGCGGACGGGUGAGUAAUGCUUAGGAAUCUGCCUAUUAGUGGGGGACGACAUUCCGAAAGGAAUGCUAAUACCGCAUACGUCCUACGGGAGAAAGCAGGGGAUCUUCGGACCUUGCGCUAAUAGAUGAGCCUAAGUCGGAUUAGCUAGUUGGUGGGGUAAAGGCCUACCAAGGCGACGAUCUGUAGCGGGUCUGAGAGGAUGAUCCGCCACACUGGGACUGAGACACGGCCCAGACUCCUACGGGAGGCAGCAGUGGGGAAUAUUGGACAAUGGGGGGAACCCUGAUCCAGCCAUGCCGCGUGUGUGAAGAAGGCCUUAUGGUUGUAAAGCACUUUAAGCGAGGAGGAGGCUACUGAGACUAAUACUCUUGGAUAGUGGACGUUACUCGCAGAAUAAACACCGGCUAACUCUGUGCCAGCCGCCGCGGUAAUAC
rnacentral:rRNA from 1 species